rnacentral:misc_RNA from 1 species
UAGUAUGUGAGGUUUAAGGUUAUAUUUAUGUUUUUUUUUGUUCAAGUAAAUAGGAGUUUUGACAGAAUAUAGUUGGUGGAUUCAAAGUCAUGUGUUAUUUGUGUUUAGUGUGUACUAAUUAAACCCGCGCACAUUAAAUAAGACGACUUAUGCACUACUUGUGAGUAACUUUGUCGAGUUUCAACAUAAUCUACAGGUAAUAUACACAUAAUUUAGGCACAUCAUGUCGGAAAGUAGCAGAAAGAAAACCAGUAGCUUUCGCAAAAUAUUCCCAUUUUUCUCUCACAAGUCCAAAGAUAAACUGAAGGAUGUUCAACCUAUUUCAAAAAUGAGAGAAAAUAAUAGUAAAACUAUUAACCAAUAUUAUAAUCCUCAAACAAUGAUAUCAACUGCAAACGAAAAGCGAAACAUAUCUGGUCAAGAUGAUCAAAACGAUAGAAUUUAUGAAAACCUCUCCAUUCGGACUACUUUAUCAAGAAAUAAUAACCAGCGAGAAGUAGAGUCGAAAGAUUCUUCAAAUAGUACACUUGUGUCAGAGAGUGUAAUAAUAAGUAAACAUAAUCACAACGCAGAUUUGCCUACUCAAGAGACGGACAUGAAAAUAUACGUAGCACGACCGCAAGUACCACCUAAACCUCAUAAUGAAAAUUUUGCAUUUCAUCCGGGUUCCAAUAACACACAGAGAGAAAUAACACAGUACCCUGACGUUUAUUAUCAUUCCGUAGAAAGACUCGUCGAAAGAAUAUCACCAGUAGACGAAAUAGAAAUAUAUAAAGCAGCACAAACAAAUCCAGCUUCAGUAGGAGCUGAAAUAAAAAGAGUAAGCACAACAUUUUUAAUAUCACCUAAAAAAGAAGCCGAAGUGCGUACAUUACAACCAAUAAGAGCUCGCAGUUUAUCACUUGAUAAGCAUAAGCCUUGUGAAAAUCCUUAUACAAAAACGAAUUAUACUGUCAAUAAAUAUGAUAACAAGAAAAAAGCGUACCAUUAUUCUGCUCCAACGUCGCCCAUUGCAGUGAAUCAUAGACUUCCAAAUAUGCCGUUGACUGUAUCUCCCUACGAACAUGUAAGAAAAAUAAUUUUUGAAGGCGAAGAAGGAAGAAAUUCAAUGAGCAGGUCUAGCACUCGGGAACAAUCAACUCCUCCAACGUCGCCUUUUAGAGACGUUGCAAAAUCUCCUACUCCGAGUGCAGUCGACAAAGGAAAAACGCGACAAAAAGUGGAAGCGUUUUAUUGGAAAAAGAUUAAAGAAAUGAAAGAAAAAGAAGAUGAAUACAUAAUGAGACAAACUAUGAAUACUACUACGCCUUUACAGAAGUGUAAUGCACCCAAUUCCAUAUCUAAUUGCAGUUCGCCAAAUUCAUUCGUAUUAGAUCCCCGAAUAAAUUCUUACCCAAUUUAUACUAAAGAAGCAAACUUACGUAAACAGACUGAUUACUAUACAGCAUCUCCUUUUACAAGAGGUGCUCCAGAACGGCGAACAGAUUCAUUUAUAAGCAAUAAGACCUAUUACCCAGAGUCUGACAUAAUCUAUAGACAUCCUCAAAAAUUAUCAUCUCCUGUAAUUUUUGGUCAACAUACGCCUUUGUAUCAGAGAGGUUCUUUGAAUCGGGAAAACAGAGCUGUUGUUAAUCAAUAUCCAAAACGGGUUAGUUUUGAUAAUAAUCAUUUGAAACACGACGACAGUGCGUCCGUUACUUCCAAUAAUUCUAAAUUGCACAAUGAAAGGAGGACUAACUCUAGACUGUCUGACUUUAAACCGAUGCCAAGUGAUGUGAUAAUAAAGAACGGAGUGGGACCACCUCAACCGCCGAUUCGUACAACAAGUGUUAGUAGUGGUAGUGCUUCGUUACACCAUAAGCUGGUCAACAACAGAUUUGGACGUGUAUCUGGUGGCCAUUCUAUUUAUUCAGAAUCGGAAAGUGGAUCUGAGGCUGGAGAAAUUCAACGAAUAUUACUUAACGACGAACGUAAAGAAGAAGACUGGCAAGGAGAUGGAAGAAUUGACGGAGGCUUAUCGGAUGGGGAGGCGACCCGAGUGCCUUUUCGUUCCCGAUCCUCUCGGCGCGACGAUCCACGUCGACACACUUUGGCUGGAAACAAUCUCUACCUGCACCCUCACCAUGCAGCGGACCUCAAUAAUCUCGAUCUAGAACAGUAUCGACCUGCGCAGGCGGCUAAUGUUCCCGUAUACGCGACGGUCAUAAAAGAUUAUGACAUGAGACGAAAUCGGUCUUUAGACCCUCGCUUCAGAAAGCCUCCAUUGCCCCGCGGCUAUUUACCGCAAACGUUCUUCUACGAUGAUGAUCCUGGGGUUAUGUCCGAGGUGGAAACCUCAUCCACUGGAUUCCGAAGAGGAGGAAAGCAACGUUCCUCCCUGCCGGUUGUGCGUACGCCGAGCAAAACGCUUGAAAGACCGUUAGAUACGGUGUUCUUGUCCGCAGGCCUCGUCUUUCUGCAAUACCGAAAUGAGACCAAACGCGCUCUACUGCCCAACGAGAUUACAUCCCUUGAUACUGUAAAAGCGCUCUUUGUCCGUAGCUUUCCCAAGCAACUUACUAUGGACUACUUGGAUAGUCCACUAGUUAAGGUUUACAUUCAUGACAGUUCAAAGGAUAUGUUCUAUGAACUCGAGGACGUGCGGGCUCAUCUACGUGACAUACGUGACCGAUCAGUGCUCCGUCUUUUUGAGUCCAAGGAUCUAAACGGUGGAGUAUUCCCUGGGGCCCUUGGUGUGGGAUCGGUAAGGCUGCCGGCUCUUGCCGCAACCAGUUCUUCCGCUGCCAACUUAGAGGAGCAAAGUACUUACUUUAGUGAGCCAGAGAUUGAUUCAGAUCAUCUAUCGCAACAUGUUCACAAGAGCAAGAGCAAACCACCUGCUUACUACAUGGGUCCUCCAGCACCUAGCACGCUGCCGAGGGGCGGCAGCGUCCUUCGGGCGUUUUCUCCCGCCGCGCCGCCCGUGCCGGCCGAUCGCGUGAAAACCAUUCCACCGCCAGGUGCUCCCCCGGUCAAGCCAGUGCGGUCAUACGUGCCGGGGACAGGCUCUGAGAGGUGUUUCCCAUUCUCCGCCGGCGAUUGUCCCCGGGGUACCGAUCAACUUUACACCAUCCCCGCCCACUCCAGCGAGGGCUACAUGUCGUCUCCCGAGCGAGGCUCCGCUAGAGUGCCCUACGAAGACCCGUACUAUACGCAGUUCCUGGGCCCAGCUGCGGCCAGGCCUGCCAUUAAUCCGGUCAUCGACGAAGAAACUAGUGAUGCUGUGAUCAUAGACGACGCUUACCAAAUGUAUGGAGUGAACGCCAUUACAACUGCGCCGCGACCAAUGCCUCGACCCCCAUACGAUGCUAGGCUGGGUCCUCCUGUGGAUGAUAUGCAGCGUCUUCGCGUCGAGAAAAUGGAGCGGCAGCUCGCUAACCUCACUGGACUUGUCCAGAAAGCUCUUCAGGUACCCGGCGGGCCGGCUCCACCAACCGUUGCUCCUCGGCAGGACUUCCAACAACCGUCUACGAGCCGAGUGACAACCCAAGAUGCCGCACGUUUUGCCAGCAGCGAGAGACCUCCCAAAUUGGGGAGGGACAGAUUUCAGAAGUCAGUCUCUUUUGAGAAAUCGGUAUCGUUUAGCGAUGACCCACCAGACAUGAACUCUCCCAAACAACACUCGCCUCAACACUCAGCUGAUACAAAACCAACAAAACCGGCAAUCAAGUCAUCCACUUUGCCGAGGACGUCAUCACAAGAGAGAGACCGCUUGAAGCCAGCCCCGCCGCCGAAGCCAGCCGGGCUCGUGGGCCAGCCGCUCGCGCUCGUCCCACAAAAAACCUAUACUGUUACAGUAACGCCUGAUUUCUUCAAUCAACUGCAUCUCCUACAGAAGCAAAGUCACGAUCUCAGGAUUGAGACUCGUAAUCUUCGCCGUACUACCUUAUCCCAUGCAAUGCAGAUGAGGCAAAUGAUGGCGGAUACUAUUGUGAAGAUCGGCACUCUGGCCGCUAGAUUCUGUGAGGAAGAUCCAGAGUCGCAACUCACUCGCGAGGAAGAAAUUUAUCGUCAGGACAUGCUGUUACUGGAGAAUGACUUGUAUGAACUGGAGGCAACUGUGGAGCGCCUUCGCGGCCAAGCUGCUAAUAGAUUGGAAACUCGCGUCAACAUGGCAGACAUCGAACGCAUUGCAAUGGUCUUGUCCAAGAGUAGCAAGACUGUUGCCGAUUGGAAGCUGAAAUUCCCCGUGCUCCAGGAAACCAUGAAAGUCAAACUUGCUGCUGAAAUGGAAAAGGUUGUCCGCAAAGAGAAAAUGCUGGAAGAGGAGCCCGAACGCCUCGAGCUCGCUUUGCGUCGUUGCAAAAAGUUAACCGGGACGCUAGUAACGCUGAAGAGAUUGGCUUGCGUGCAAGAACAACGCUUGCCACUGAACGACGGCCGCGUCUCGCCCUCGUCCUCUCAGAGCUCCACGGCCACAGCUGGUCCCUCUUCCGAGGAGUACCACUCGGAAAAUGCUUGUCAUGUCAAUCAAUCCAAUAAGCCCGUUCUCAAAACCAGAAGCAGCACAAAUUACCUUGGAAUCUAAUUCAAUUCAAUCCCUUAUCCUUUUCCUUACCCGGCCACUUUUACAAACCUGAAAUUUAUGUCACUAACUUGCACGCAAGCGUGUGGUAUCGCCGUGUAGUUAUUAUAAUCCGAAUACUUAUAACUCCAAACUUACUAAAUACACGUGUAGAUUAUUGUUUUCGAAAGUAAACAAAUAGCUUCCCAUUACACUUAAUUAUACCACAAUAUUUACGACGAUAAAACCCCAUCCUAACUGCCUGUUCUCGAAUUCAAAGCUAUGAAAAGAGAUAUGAAAAUUAACCCCGCAUCUGGAGUCCAGGCAGCCGGCGCCGGGCGAGUGUGUACGUCCCGGGGAACGACGGACGUGCGGCCAGAGAACGCCCUCGAUGCGCUACUAGACGAAUUGCAAACGUUCGCCAAGCCCGCGGAGCGCAGCGCGCGCGGCGAGGGGCCUCUG